rnacentral:precursor_RNA from 1 species
AUGGUGAGUGUGGACGUGUCUCGUGCAUCCUCUCUACCC